rnacentral:rRNA from 1 species
AUUGAACGCUGGCGGCAUGCUUUACACAUGCAAGUCGAACGGUAACAGGGAGCUUGCUCCGCUGACGAGUGGCGAACGGGUGAGUAAUGCAUCGGAACAUGCCCAGUCAUGGGGGAUAACUACGCGAAAGCGUAGCUAAUACCGCAUACGCCCUGAGGGGGAAAGUGGGGGAUCUUAGGACCUCACGUGAUUGGAGUGGCCGAUGUCAGAUUAGCUAGUUGGUGAGGUAAAGGCUCACCAAGGCGACGAUCUGUAGCGGGUCUGAGAGGAUGAUCCGCCACACUGGGACUGAGACACGGCCCAGACUCCUACGGGAGGCAGCAGCGGGGAAUUUUGGACAAUGGGCGCAAGCCUGAUCCAGCCAUGCCGCGUGAGUGAAGAAGGCCUCGG